GAGGAACAUCCUUAAACCUCGUAAUGAGCAGGAGCAGAUGGAGGAGAAGAGAGAGAUCAGAUGCCGGCUCUCACGCAAGCUGAGUCAGAGGCCCACAGUGGAGGAUCUGCGGCGAGCGAGGAUCCUGAUCCGCUUCUGUGAUUACGUGGAGGUGGCAGACGCUCAGGACUACGACAGACGCACAGACAAACCCUGGACGAGACUCACGGCGGCUGACAAGGCAAGUGUGUGUGGACUGAUGAUGCAGAUUGGAAAUGCAAAUGUUGGGAUGAUUUUUCAACCACAUAAACGAAUAUUUUAUU